AGACGACUCUCUUUUGCUUCUGUUUUCGUGGCCGCUCACCUGAAACCAUGAUUUAUUAAUUAUAGAAUGAGUACUUCCAGUUUUAAAUCCUUAGGAACGUUACAUGAGUCUGGCGACUGAACAGGUUGGUGAAUCGACAGUUAAGUGGAGUGAGUCAUAUAUCUCUCUAUCGUCCAUGGUUUGGAGACAGGCUAUCGGGUUCGGUAUUGGUAUGGAACGGAGUUGGAAGAACACCAGUUACACCUUGCCAAAAACUGGGUUACCGUCCAGCAGAGUACGAUGGGAAGAAAAUUAUUUAUGCAUACGUCUUCAAAAAAGGACACUCAAUGAAACCAAUUCAUACCCGGAGAGAAUCCUUGCUGGAAAGUAGUUGUCACCCCUCGGAACCAGGAUUGCAGGAGCCACUCGUAUAUUCCGAUUGGUUGCCACUUUUCACCAGUCGUCACCAUCUGACAUAUAUGUAUAAAGUUAUCGAUACAUUAACUGUGAGAAAGAGGUCCUCCGCAACCAUGAAGGCUGUCUUCACACGUCAGUUGGCUCUCUCAUCACCAGGAAAUCAUAUCCACUUCUUUCUUCCUGCUAUAAUUAUUAUAUCUCUCGUUA